rnacentral:rRNA from 1 species
AUUGAACGCUGGCGGCAGGCCUAACACAUGCAAGUCGAGCGGCAGCGGGAAGUAGCUUGCUACUUUGCCGGCGAGCGGCGGACGGGUGAGUAAUGUCUGGGAAACUGCCUGAUGGAGGGGGAUAACUACUGGAAACGGUAGCUAAUACCGCAUAACGUCGCAAGACCAAAGAGGGGGACCUUCGGGCCUCUUGCCAUCAGAUGUGCCCAGAUGGGAUUAGCUAGUAGGUGGGGUAAUGGCUCACCUAGGCGACGAUCCCUAGCUGGUCUGAGAGGAUGACCAGCCACACUGGAACUGAGACACGGUCCAGACUCCUACGGGAGGCAGCAGUGGGGAAUAUUGCACAAUGGGCGCAAGCCUGAUGUAGCCAUGCCGCGUGUGUGAAGAAGGCCUUCGGGUUGUAAAGCACUUUCAGCGAGGAGGAAGGCAUUAAGGUUAAUAACCUUAGUGAUUGACGUUACUCGCAGAAGAAGCACCGGCUAACUCCGUGCCAGCCGCCGCAGUAA